rnacentral:lncRNA from 1 species
AGCAUCGAAGGUGGAUCUCUUCCCCGCCUCUGUCAGGCAACGCGCCAGAAACGAGAGGCAGCUGUCCCGAGACAGGAGGGCGGGAACAGGAGCUCUGGCGAUAGAGGUGGAGACGCGGAUGCUGGAGGGAGCUGCAGCGAGAUCUGAGCUCUGUCUACGGUUCAGCGAGGACCCAGAAGAACAGCGUCAGAUGUGAUUGAAUAUUCCUGUUCAGAGCCUCCCAGCCGUCUCCAAGGCAGCAUGCACUUUUAAUCCAUCAUCUAUUAAGCAAUGUCUGCAUGUGGCAAAGGAAAAAAUCACGUGAUUCAAUAGGGCCCACAGUCAAAGCCAAAGUCUUUCUUUCCUUCCUCCGACCACACUCCGAGGGUGGAACUCCCGCAGGAGGGGCAGAGCUACCUGGGCCACACAUGCGGCACCAACCUCGUCACGUCCUGCCAAGGCUGUCACCACCUCCUCUCAAGACAGACGGCACGGAGGCCUGGACUUAGACGCUGCCUGAGGCCUGGGCGUUCUCGCGCGAUAGGAGUGUGGGGUUGCCGUGCUUUCUCAAGGGGAGCAGAACCCAGGCCCCAUCGUCAGAUAUUCUGAUUCAGUUGGUCAGGAUGAGUUCAGGACUUCAGCAAGGGCACCUGGUCAUCUGAUGGCAAGGCUCAGACUAGCUUCAGGGAACCAGGCUAUCCUGGAGAUGGGUGGUCUGGGUUUGACCCUCCUCCGUAACUUAUUGGCCUUGGGAGAGUCAGUCCCGCUCCUCUAGCUGUAUACAGAGGGAAGAGCAGCCCCUCCUUCCUAGCUUGACUGGAUAAGUAAGUGGUAAAGUGCAGCAGAGGACCAAGCAGAGCAGGAAGAAGCCCCUGAGGUACCAGUAUAGCCCGCUCCUGAUCCCUUGGGGCUGGGGUGGGGAACGUCCGCUGGUGGCCCUGGGCUGCAGCCUCUCAAGUGGUGGAGUUCAAGCUGCACCACCCAGGCAAUGUCUUCAUGAAACGGUGGAACAUGAGGACAAUCGAGUUCUUCACAAAGGGACUCGGGCUCAAUGCCACUUGGAUCUUCCUGACAAAUUUCCCAUGUCAUUCUGGCUGAUUCCUCCUUGGAUGGCAGGCAUCUUGCUGUCAGUCCUCUCUGCAGAAGACCCAUCUCUCACACGCUCAGAUAAUUUGCAAUUGCUAAUCUACCAUUCUGAGGAAAACUCCCCAGGUGCAUUAGAACUAUACCUGAUGUAAAAGAAAGAGAGGCCAUCCAGCCUUUGAUGGGGUUGACUGGUUGGUUGGAUGGAGAGACCGUCUGCCUGAGGUGUGCGUCACCCUCACUCGCACGCUUGUGCUUGUGCUUGUCUAAGUGCCUUAGUAUAACAAGGAAGAACAAAUAUGACUCCAUAUUAGGUUUGCUUCAUUUACCCUAACCUUUGUAUUCUAUUGCUUCUGCUUCAAAUUAAUCACUAAAAGAAUGUUGCCUAUUUCCUGAAAUAUACAGGGUAACCCAUUCUCAAGGCUCUGACCUGUAAGAUAUAAUGUUGCCCAUUCAUUUAGAAAUAAAAAGUUGCAAAACAGAGAAUAAUAUUUGUCU